rnacentral:rRNA from 1 species
UACGGAGGGGGCUAGCGUUGUUCGGAAUUACUGGGCGUAAAGCGCACGUAGGCGGCUUUGUAAGUUAGAGGUGAAAGCCCAGGGCUUAACCCUGGAAUUGCCUUUAAGACUGCAUCGCUAGAAUCGUGGAGAGGUGAGUGGAAUUCCGAGUGUAGAGGUGAAAUUCGUAGAUAUUCGGAAGAACACUAGUGGCGAAGGCGACUCACUGGACACGUAUUGACGCUGAGGUGACGAAAGCGUGGGGAGCAAACAGGG